rnacentral:rRNA from 1 species
UACGGGGGGGGUAAGCGUUGUUCGGAAUUACGGGGCGUAAAGGGCUCGUAGGCGGCCAACUAAGUCAGACGUGAAAUCCCUCAGCUUAACUGGGGAACUGCGUCUGAUACUGGAUGGCUUGGAUUCGGGAGAGGAAUGCGGAAUUCCAGGUGUAGCGGUGAAAUGCGUAGAUAUCUGGAGGGACACCGGUGGCGAAGGCGGCAUCCUGGACCGACACUGACACUGAGGAGCGAAAGCCAGGGGAGCAAACGGG